CCUACGGGAGGCAGCAGUGGGGAAUUUUGGACAAUGGGCGCAAGCCUGAUCCAGCCAUGCCGCGUGUGGGAAGAAGGCCUUCGGGUUGUAAACCACUUUUGUCAGGGAAGAAACGGCUUUUUCUAAUACAGAGAGCUAAUGACGGUACCUGAAGAAUAAGCACCGGCUAACUACGUGCCAGCAGCCGCGGUAAUACGUAGGGUGCAAGCGUUAAUCGGAAUUACUGGGCGUAAAGCGUGCGCAGGCGGCUUUGCAAGACAGAUGUGAAAUCCCCGGGCUCAACCUGGGAACUGCAUUUGUGACUGCAUGGCUAGAGUACGGUAGAGGGGGAUGGAAUUCCGCGUGUAGCAGUGAAAUGCGUAGAUAUGCGGAGGAACACCGACGGCGAAGGCAAUCCCCUGGACCUGUACUGACGCUCAUGCACGAAAGCGUGGGGAGCAAACAGGAUUAGAUACCCUGGUAGUCCACGCCCUAAACGAUGUCAACUGGUUGUUGGACGGCUUGCUGUUCAGUAACGAAGCUAACGCGUGAAGUUGACCGCCUGGGGAGUACGGCCGCAAGGUUGAAACUUAAAGGAAUUGACGG
rnacentral:rRNA from 1 species